rnacentral:rRNA from 1 species
CGGACGGGUGAGUAACACGUAGUUAACCUACCGUUUAGUGGGGAAUAACCCCUCGAAAGAGGAGCUAAUACCGCAUACGUUCUCUGGCGUGGGCUAGAGAAGAAACCUCGGUUAAUACCUGGGGCUAAAUGAUGGGACUGCGGCGGAUUAGCUAGAUGGUGGGGUAAAGGCCUACCAUGGCGACGAUCCGUAGCUGGUCUGAGAGGACGACCAGCCACACUGGGACUGAGAUACGGCCCAG